rnacentral:tRNA from 1 species
GAGGGUAUAGCUCAGUGGUAGAGCGCAUGCUUGGCAUGCAUGAGGUCCUAGGUUCAACCCCCAACACCUCCU